rnacentral:rRNA from 1 species
UACGGGAGGCAGCAGUGGGGAAUUUUCCGCAAUGGGCGAAAGCCUGACGGAGCAACGCCGCGUGAGGGAUGAAGGCCUCUGGGCUGUAAACCUCUUUUAUCAAGGAAGAAGAUCUGACGGUACUUGAUGAAUAAGCCACGGCUAAUUCCGUGCCAGCAGCCGCGGUAAUACGGGAGUGGCAAGCGUUAUCCGGAAUUAUUGGGCGUAAAGCGUCCGCAGGCGGCCCAACAAGUCUGCUGUUAAAAAGUGGAGCUUAACUCCAUCAUGGCAGUGGAAACUGUUGGGCUAGAGUGUGGUAGGGGCAGAGGGAAUUCCCGGUGUAGCGGUGAAAUGCGUAGAUAUCGGGAAGAACACCAGUGGCGAAGGCGCUCUGCUGGGCCAUCACUGACGCUCAUGGACGAAAGCCAGGGGAGCGAAAGGGAUUAGAUACCCCUGUAGUCCUGGCCGUAAACGAUGAACACUAGGUGUCGGGGGAAUCGACCCCUCCGGUGUCGUAGCCAACGCGUUAAGUGUUCCGCCUGGGGAGUACGCACGCAAGUGUGAAACUCAAAGGAAUUGACGG